rnacentral:rRNA from 1 species
ACGAACGCUGGCGGCGUGCUUAACACAUGCAAGUCGAACGGUGAAGCGCCUUCCUUUUUGGUGGGUGUGGAUGAGUGGCGAACGGGUGAGUAACACGUGAGUAACCUGCCCCCUUCUUCUGGAUAACCGCAUGAAAGUGUGGCUAAUACGGGAUAUUCUGGGUCUGUCGCAUGAUGGGUCUGGGAAAGAUAUUGUUUCGGUGGGGGAUGGGCUCGCGGCCUAUCAGCUUGUUGGUGGGGUGAUGGCCUACCAAGGCGGUGACGGGUAGCCGGCCUGAGAGGGUGGACGGUCACACUGGGACUGAGACACGGACCAGACUCCGACGGGAGGCAGCAGUGGGGAAUAUUGCACAAUGGGCGCAAGCCUGAUGCAGCGACACCGCGUGAGGGAUGGAGGCCUUCGGGUUGUGAACCUCUUUCGCCAGUGAAGCAGGCCUGCCUCGUUUGUGGGUGGGUUGACGGUAGCUGGAUAAGAAGCGCCGGCUAACUACGUG